rnacentral:tRNA from 3 species
GGGCCUAUAGCUCAAUCGGUCAGAGCCCCCGGCUCAUAACCGGGCUGUUCCUGGUUCGAGUCCAGGUGGGCCCACGA